rnacentral:rRNA from 1 species
GUGGGGAAUAUUCCGCAAUGGACGAAAGUCUGACGGAGCAACGCCGCGUGAGUGAUGAAGGUUUUCGGACUGUAAAGCUCUGUUGUUUGGGACGAAAGUGCCUGUUGCGAACAGUUACGGGUAUUGACGGUACUAAACGAGGAAGCCACGGCUAACUACGUGCCAGCAGCCGCGGUAAUACGUAGGUGGCAAGCGUUGUCCGGAAUUAUUGGGCGUAAAGAGCAUGUAGGCGGGAAUCUAAGUCUGUUGUUAAAAUGCGGGGCUCAACCCCGUAUUGCGAUGGAAACUGGGUUGCUUGAGUGCAGGAGAGGAAAGGGGAAUUCCCAGUGUAGCGGUGAAAUGCGUAGAUAUUGGGAGGAACACCAGUGGCGAAGGCGCCUUUCUGGACUGUGUCUGACGCUGAGAUGCGAAAGCCAGGGUAGCGAACGGGAUUAGAAACCCCAGUAGUCC